UACGUAGGGACCGAGCGUUGUCCGGAAUCAUUGGGCGUAAAGCGCGUGUAGGCGGCCCGGUAAGUCCGCUGUGAAAGUCGAGGGCUCAACCCUCGAAAGCCGGUGGAUACUGUCGGGCUCGAGUGCGGGAGAGGCGAGUGAAAUUCCUGGUGUAGCGGUGAAAUGCGCAGAUAUCAGGAGGAACACCGAUUGCGAAGGCAGCUCGCUGGAACGUAACUGACGCUGAGACGCGAAAGCGUGGGGAGCAAACAGG
rnacentral:rRNA from 1 species